CCGAGUGCUGCUGCUGCAGGAACUGAAGACUCUUCUCCAGGUCCAGGAUCCGCUUCUGCGCCUCGCCCAGUCCCGGCUGCGGGCCCUGCACCCCGCAUCCCGGGAGGACCACGACACCAAGUUGCAGAUGCUACCAUAAUUCCAACCUGACUCCGCCAGGGCAGACAACCUCAUCAAUGUACCUUGGAACCUUGUUUCCCCAAAGCUUUGCCUCACUAGGGAAAGGGAGACAGGCUGGGCAUAUGGAUCAACCUGACAAUGCUCAUGUUCAGUGGAGAAGCAAUUACAGAAGCCAGACCUUCCACCUUUUGCACCCCAUAAUGAUCCUGGGUCCAUACUCCCAGAAGGAUAAAGAAUAGGAAAGCUUCCAUUGGAGUGUAUGAGAUAUGCAACUCUAGUUGUGGGAAAUGUGUAGGGAAAAAAAAAAAAGACUAGCUCCUGUCCAGAGCUCACAAGAGGUGGUGAAGAACACAGCUCAGUUUCCAGCUGUCUUUUAGAAGCCACGAAGGCAUCAUAUAUUCCUGGAUUACCAGUGGCAACUCUGCUUUGCUAAGAAGACAGAACUCACACAGACCCAGCAUGGAUCUCCCAAACUCACAUACAGGAGGUAACCCGUUUCCAUGAUGGCUGUCUCAGUGUGUGUGUGUGUGCGUGUGUGUGUGUGUGUGUGUGUGUGUGUGUGUGUGUGUGUUGGCAGCUGCUAAUCAAGUUGUGGGAAGAGGCUUCCCCUACAUAAAGUACCUGAGCACUCUUGCUCAUGGUAAGACCUAGGCAUGAGAAAUUCAUCUAGU